GCCUGGGUGGCUCAGUCAGUUAAGCAUCUGACUUCGGCUUAGGUCAUGAUCUCAUGGUUCGUGGGUUCAAGCCCCUCAUCAGGCU
rnacentral:tRNA from 1 species